UACGGAGGGUGCAAGCGUCAAUCGGAAUUACUGGGCGUAAAGGGUGCGUAGGUGGUUUGUUAAGUUAUCUGUGAAAUCCCCGGGCUCAACCUGGGCAUGCCAGAUAAGACUGAUAGGCUAGAGUAUAGGAGAGGGUAGUGGAAUUUCCGGUGUAGCGGUGAAAUGCGUAGAGAUCGGAAGGAACACCGGUGGCGAAGGCGGCUACCUGGCCUAAUACUGACACUGAGGCACGAAAGCGUGGGGAGCAAACAGG
rnacentral:rRNA from 1 species